UUUCCGUAGGUGAACCUGCGGAAGGAUCAUUACUGAGUUAGUGCCCUUCGGGGUAGACCUCCCACCCUUUGUAUACAUACCAUUGUUGCUUCGGCGGCUCGCCGCAAGGCCCUCGGCUUCUGCUGGGGCGUGGCCGCCGGAGGACCCCCAACCCUGAGUUACAGUGUCUUCCGAGUACUAUAUAAUAGUUAAAACUUUCAACAACGGAUCUCUUGGUUCUGGCAUCGAUGAAGAACGCAGC
rnacentral:misc_RNA from 1 species